rnacentral:rRNA from 1 species
CUCGAGGCCAGAUCUUUCCGGUUGAUCCUGCCGGACCUGACUGCUAUCGGAUUGAUACUAAGCCAUGCGAGUCUUUGUAGCAAUACAAGGCAGACGGCUCAGUAACACGUAGUCAAUCUACCCUAUGGACGGGGAUAACCUCGGGAAACUGAGAAUAAUACCCGAUAGAUCAUUAUGCCUGGAAAGGUUUAUGGUCGAAAUGAUUUAUCGCCGUAGGAUGGGACUGCGGUCUAUCAGCUUGUUGGUGAGGUAAUGGCCCACCAAGGCUAUAACAGAUACGGGCUCUGAGAGGAGAAGCCCGGAGAUGGGUACUGAGACACGGACCCAGGCCCUAUGGGGCGCAGCAGGCGAGAAAACUUUGCAAUGUGCGAAAGCACGACAAGGUUAAUCCGAGUGUUUUCUGCUAAAGAAAUCUUUUGUCAGUCCUAAAAACACUGAUGAAUAAGGGGUGGGCAAGUUCUGGUGUCAGCCGCCGCGGUAAAACCAGCACCUCAAGUGGUCAGGAGGAUUAUUGGGCCUAAAGCAUCCGUAGCCGGCCGUGUAAGUUUUCGGUUAAA